GGAAGGAUCAUUGAAUCUAUCAAUACCAACACAGUGAACCAAUUUGUCCGGCCCGCCGGUGUAAAAGCCGGUGCUGUCCUCUUGGAGAUUCACGUCUCCUUGGGUGAUUGGGCCUUUCCUUAACUGGGAAGGUCGGCCUUUUACUAACCACACACACCAAACUCAAACCUAAAGAUUUGAUAUGCAUUCGGCCUAGCCGGUGCAUCCAAACUGAGACAACUCUCAACAACGGAUAUCUUGGCUCUCGCAACGAUGAAGAACGCAGCGAAAUGCGAUACGUAGUGUGAAUUGCAGAAUUCCGUGAAUCAUCGAAUCUUUGAACGCAUAUUGCGCCCGAGGCCCCUGGCCAAGGGCAUGUCUGCCUCAGCGUCGGGUUAAUACUCGCCCCCUCUUCUCAUUUGAGUAGAACGGGCGGAUCUGGCCGUUCCAGUGAUCAUUUGAGAGCUGGAUCAGCCGAAGAACAGAGGCUAACCAAGGACCCGUCAAGGGCCGCAACUGGGUGGGCAGCUCACGCUUGCUAUAUCAUCUUGGUUGUUGGUCUGGGACUUUGUUGUUCGGCCCAAAACAGGAACCCUUCUUUAUUUUCUCGACCUGAGCUCAGGCAAGAACACCCGCUGAACUUAAGCAUAUCAAUAAGCGGAGGAAAAGAAACUAACAAGGAUUCCCUUAGUAACGGCGAGUGAAACGGGAAUAGCCCAACUUGAAAAUCUCCCUUUGGAGAAUUGUAGUCUACAGAAGCGCCCUCUGUGGCGGCCAGGGCCCAAGUCCACUGGAAAGUGGCGUCAGAGAGGGUGAGAACCCCGUCGGCCCCCGGCUUCGCUGCUCCACGAGGUGCUUUCCACGAGUCGGGUUGUUUGGGAAUGCAGCCCAAAAUGGGAGGUAAAUCCCUUCUAAGGCUAAAUAUUGGCGAGAGACCGAUAGCGAACAAGUACCGUGAGGGAAAGAUGAAAAGAACUUUGAAAAGAGAGUUAAAAAGUGCUUGAAAUUGUUGAGAGGGAAGCGAUUGGAGGCUGCGGGUGCGCCCAGGCUUAUACGUCUCUAACGAGCCGUUGUAUGUGCUGGGUGCUGGUCAGCAUGGGUUAAGCGGGCGGGAUAACAGCAGAGGUUGAUACUCUGUCUAUGCCGUCUGCUUGACCAAGGCGUGAAUGGCGCUUAGUCCUUCGGGAACUGCGUCAUCAAGAUGCUGGCGGAAGGCCUUCAAUCGGCCCGUCUUGAAACACGGACCAAGGAGUCUAACAUGUAUGCGAGUUGGUGGGUGGAAAACCCAUGAAGCGCAAGUAACCUGACUGGUGGGAUGGCCUGUGCCUGCACCAUCGACCGACCAUGAUCUUCUGUGAAAGGUUUGAGUGCGAGCAUACCUGUUGGGACCCGAAAGAUGGUGAACUAUGCCUGAGCAGGGUGAAGCCAGAGGAAACUCUGGUGGAGGCUCGUAGAUGUGCUGACGUGCAAAUCGCUUUUCGGACUUGGGUAUAGGGGCGAAAGACUAAUCGAACCAUCUAGUAGCUGGUUUCCUC
rnacentral:misc_RNA from 1 species